rnacentral:rRNA from 1 species
CCUACGGGAGACAGCAGUGGGGAAUAUUGGGCAAUGGGCGCAAGCCUGACCCAGCAACGCCGCGUGAAGGAAGAAGGCCCUCGGGUUGUAAACUUCUUUUAUCAUGGACGUAACAAGUUACGGGACUGGAUGAAUAAGUCACCGCUAACUACGUGGCAGCAGCCGCUGUAAUACGGAGGUGGCAAGCGUUAUCCGGAUUUAUUGGGUGUAAAGGGAGUGUAGGCGGGACUGUAAGUCAGAUGUGAAAACCAUGGGCUCAACCCAUGGACUGCAUUUGAAACUGUAUUUCUUGAGUGUUGGAGAGGCAGGCGGAAUUCGGUGUGUAGCGGUGAAAUGCGUAGAUAUACGGAGGAACACCAGUGGCGAAGGCGGCCUGCUGGACAAUAACUGACGCUGAGGCGCGAAAGUGUGGGGAGCAAACAGGAUUAGAUACCCCUGUAGUC